UGACCUCAAAUCAGGUAGGAGUACCCGCUGAACUUAAGCAUAUCAA
rnacentral:rRNA from 1 species